rnacentral:rRNA from 1 species
GAGUUUGAUCUUGGCUCAGGAUGAACGCUAGCGGCAGGCUUAACACAUGCAAGUCGAGGGGUAUAGGUUUUCGGACCUAGAGACCGGCGCACGGGUGCGUAACGCGUAUGCGAUCUACCUUUUACAGAGGGAUAGCCCAGAGAAAUUUGGAUUAAUACCUCAUAGUAUUAUUGAGUGGCAUCAUUUAAUAAUUAAAGUUCCAACGGUAAAAGAUGAGCAUGCGUCCCAUUAGCUAGAUGGUAAGGUAACGGCUUACCAUGGCGACGAUGGGUAGGGGUCCUGAGAGGGAGAUCCCCCACACUGGUACUGAGACACGGACCAGACUCCUACGGGAGGCAGCAGUGAGGAAUAUUGGUCAAUGGGCGCAAGCCUGAACCAGCCAUGCCGCGUGCAGGAUGACGGUCCUAUGGAUUUGUAAACUGCUUUUGACGGGAAGAACACUGGAACGUGUUCCAGCUUGACGGUA